GCAAGUAGAAAGAUAGAUCAAUAUCAAUUUAUUUUUCCUAAAUAGAGAUAUUCUUCUCUUCUCCUUUCUACAAUUUUAUUUAGCUUUCAGAUUUUAACAAUGAUUGUGAAUGACAAAUCUGAAAUUUUUUUUCAAUAAAACUAAACAAAAGAUGUUAUGUAGCAAUUCAAACAUUCAAUCAAAUUGUCCAAGUAUGAAACAUUACAAAAUAUUGAGAACUCAUAAAUCAAGACAUCAUACCAUAUGCAAAAACAUCUCAUGUGUUAAAUCAUGCAUUAACAGAUUAUGAACAAGCAUGUCAAGGAUCCAAAUCAAUACUUUUCAAAUAAACUCCCCCUAUUUAAAUAUAAUCUUGCAAUGAUUUCAUCCUUAAAGUGUGUUUUCAAGUGAUUAAGAAAUUUGACUUAAUUCUACUUUCAUUUUCUUUGUUUUUCAUUUAUAACUUUCUUAUGCUCUAUACUCUAUUUGCUCCCUAUCCGGUGGAGUUGGGAAGGGGCACGAGGUACUACCACUAGCCUUCC
rnacentral:lncRNA from 1 species